rnacentral:rRNA from 1 species
CCUACGGGCGGCAGCAGUAGGGAAUCUUUCACAAUGGGCGAAAGCCUGAUGGAGCAACGCCGCGUGCAGGAUGAAGGCCUUCGGGUUGUAAACUGCUUUUAUAAGCGAGAAAUAUGAUGGUAACUUAUGAAUAAGGAUCGGCUAACUACGUGCCAGCAGCCGCGGUCAUACGUAGGAUCCGAGCAUUAUCCGGAGGGACUGGGUGUAAAGAGUUGCGUAGGUGGCAUAAUAAGUAGCUAGUGAAAUCUGGUGGCUCAACCAUUCAGACUAUUAGCUAAACUGUUAAGCUCGAGACCGUUAGGGGUAACUGGAAUUUCUAGUGUAGGAGUGAAAUCCGUAGAUAUUAGAAGGAACACCAAUAGCGUAGGCAGGUUGCUGGGACGGUUCUGACACUAAGGCACGAAAGCGUAGGGAGCAAACGGGAUUAGAUACCCCAGUAGUC